rnacentral:lncRNA from 1 species
UCGGCUGUUGUCUUCUCUAUGGUCGGGUUGUUGUCGCGUUGACAUAUUCCCCAUUUCCUUUCUCAAUUUUACAGCAUACAAGUUCAAGGGAAUUUAAAAAGCUGGAGAUUUAUCUAGCUAUUAAAGUUUAGUCCCAUAUCAAUUGGUUGCUUUCAAAUGGAUGUAGUUUUUUUGGCAAACGCCUUUUCAUUUUUCUUUCCUGAUAAAC